rnacentral:piRNA from 1 species
UGCCUCCCAGCCUUGGAGUUUGGAUUCCUA